AGCCAUACGCGAGGGACUUGCGA
rnacentral:siRNA from 1 species